GGUCCCAUCGUCUAGAGGCCUAGGACAUCAGAUUCUCAUUCUGAAGAUCGGGGGUUCGAAUCCCCCUGGGACCG
rnacentral:tRNA from 1 species